CUGCCCAUCCCGAAAAUGGCUGUGACGCGCCUGGGGCCCCAGCGCGCUGGAACAAGCCCGGGAAGCUGCCGGCGGGCCCUCCGGCAGCCGGGGAGUCCUUCUCCUCGGGGAGCCCGGGGGGCUGUCCUCAGGGCUGGGGCCUGACCUGGGAACCGCAGCGCUGAGAACCACGGUCCUCCGACACUAGGAUUCUCCGACUUUCUUCCCCCUGCCAGCUCAUCCCACUGACCACAAGAUGGUGCCCUCUUCCUGGGAAAUCUUUUUGCUGUUCCCGGCACAGGCUGAACAAUCCAUUUUCUCUGUAAUCCUGAAAGAAUGGACUGGAAUUUAACAAUCUUCAUAGCAUCUCAUUAAGCCAGAAUUCUGUACCCUUGAUGUCUAACCGUUUAAUGUGUAUCUUCCUCUUCUGCUAGAAACCGCAUUGUUUACUGUCUUACUAUAAUGCAAGGCAAAGCAACAAUGCAUAGUUACCUUAUGAUCAUAAUCAUUAGUAUCAAUAAAAAUACUUAGUCCCUUA